rnacentral:lncRNA from 1 species
UUUUUUUUUUUUUUAAUUAUAGUCAACUUACACCGCUGUACUAAUUUCUGCUGUCACAGCCACGGAUUUUUUUUUUGGUCUUUUUAGGGCCACACCCACAGCAUAUGGAGGUUCCCAGGCUAGGGGUCCAAUCGGAGCUGCAGCUACCAGCCUACACGACAGCCACAGCAACACAGGAUCCGAGCUGUGUCUGCGACCUACACGGCAGCUCAUGGCAAUACCGGAUCCCUCACCCAAUGAACAAGGCCAGGGAUGGACACCUCAACCUCAGGGAUACUAGCUGGAUUCGUUAACCACUGAGCCACGAUGGGAACUCCAGGACUUUUUUAUUAGCCAAAGGGAAGAAGUGAAAAUACAGCAAUGUCUGUAACCAAGCAGGACCCUCUGGGGCCUUCCCAGAAUAGACCUCCACCCAUGUCCUCUGUCUUCCCUUGAUCUGCAGAAAAACUUUAGCCAAAGAUUGAACUUUUUGUUUGAUUUGUCCGUUUUUAGAAUUUUUAAUUGCAGUUGAUUUACAAUUUUCUGCCGUUCAGCAAAGUGGCCCAGUCCUACAUAUAUAUCCAUUCUUUUUCUCGCAUUAUCCUCCAUCAUGUUCCAUUACAAGGGAUCAGAUAGAGUUCCUUAGGCAAAGACGACACGUAAGCAGAGAAGUGAGAAAAUGCUGAGAGAAAGGAAAAGCAAGUCAAGGACCUUUAGUUCUUCAAGGUCUAUAGACAGCACUCUGGAGCUCUUGGAGCUGUUCUGCAGAUAACUGAAGCCCCCAUCAGGUAGAAGAAGUCAACUCUAAGCUGCCCACAAGCAGGCAGAGCCCAGACAGGGUGGAACCAGAAGGUGGAGGAUGCUACUCCCAAUGACGUCAUCACCAACCAAUCAGAAGAACGACCGCGAGCUGACCACGCCCUGCUCCCUGAACACUGUACCCUCCUCGCUACCCCUCCAGGGCAAGGCACCGUUUUGCGGGCACCAGCCUGCUGUGGCCCCCUUUGCCUGGCAAAGCAGUCAAGCUCUUCUUUUCUACGUCACCCCAAACUGUCUCCAUGAUUCAAUAGAGGGCCGGUGCACAGAAGCCAAAUUUUGGAGAUGGGGUCACAUCUUGAUACCACAGGAACAGGUUCCAGGACCCCCCACAGAUAACACGGCACAGAAAAUACAAGUUUUGCAAUCCAGAACUUUCUGGAUCUUCCCUCCCCCCUACCCUGUCCCCAACAGAAAGUGUGGAAGCUGUGGACACAGAGGACCAGCUGCAUGCAGUUCUGAUGAAAAACCGUUGUAACCAGGUGACUGUCUAUUCAGGAAAGUUGAAACUCCUUUGUGAAGCAGCAAAAAAAGAAAUUCUCUUCGCAGACCCUGACCCACGAAAUGAAGCCCUCGUGUACCUUUCAUGAAAGGAAAAAAAAAAAAAAGUCUCUAAGAAAAUGCAGUCAAAUAGGGAAUGAAAUAAAAAAUAAAACCCUUAUUUGUGAGGAAGGCAUGUCAUAAAAGAACCAAAGACCAUGAAGUGAGUGCUGAAAACACCUGCACAUUCCGU